rnacentral:rRNA from 1 species
CCUCUUCCCAUUCCGAACAGAGAAGUUAAGCCCGCCAGCGCCGAUGGUACUGCAUAUUGUGGGAGAGUAGGCCGCUGCCGGUA